rnacentral:rRNA from 1 species
CCUACGGGAGGCUGCAGUGAGGAAUAUUGGUCAAUGGGCGAAAUUCUGAACCAGCCAAGCCGCGUGCAGGAAGACGGCCCUAUGAGUUGUAAACCUCUUUUGUACGAGGGUAAACCCCGAGACGAGUAUCCGACUGAGAGUAUCCGACGAAUAAGCAUCGGCUAACUCCGUGCCAGCAGCCGCGGUAAUACGGAGGAUGCGAGCGUUAUCCGGAUUUAUUGGGUUUAAAGGGUGCGUAGGCGGUGUGUUACUUCAGCGGGAAAAUUGCGGGGCUUAACCCGGUCGUGCCUUUGAAACUGGCAGACUUGAGUGGACGAGAGGUACGCGGAAUGCACGGUGUAGCGGUGAAAUGCAUAGAUAUCACGCAGAACACCGAUUGCGAAGGCAGCUUAC